rnacentral:rRNA from 1 species
AUUGAACGCUGGCGGAAUGCUUUACACAUGCAAGUCGAGCGGCAGCGCGGUCUUCGGACUGGCGGCGAGCGGCGAACGGGUGAGUAAUACAUCGGAACAUGCCCAGUCGUGGGGGAUAACACUUCGAAAGAAGUGCUAAUACCGCAUACGUCCUGAGGGAGAAAGCGGGGGAUCGCAAGACCUCGCGCGAUUGGAGUGGCCGAUGUCAGAUUAGCUAGUUGGUGGGGUAAAGGCCUACCAAGGCAACGAUCUGUAGCUGGUCUGAGAGGAUGAUCAGCCACACUGGGACAGAGACACGGCCCAGAGUCCUACGGGAGGCAGCAGGCGGGAAUGUUGGACAAUGGGGGCAACCCUGAUCCAGCCAUUCCGAGUGAGUGAAGAAGGCCUUCGGGUGGUAAAGCUCUUUUGGCAGGAACGAAACGGCGAGCUCUAACAUAGCUCGCUAAUGACGGUACCUGAAGAAGAAGCACCGGCUAACUACGUGCCAGCCGCCGCCGUAACAC